GAAAAGGCUAAAACGUAUCGGUGGUGGUGGUGAGGGGGUUAUUCACACCAGAGAGAAGUUUCCGUAAUGCCAUUAACUGUGAAGGUAUGACUUGUGUGAUUGAGCCAGGAAGCAGAGUGAGGGUGAGUCCAGGCCCUGGAUCAAGACUCCUGAGUUGGCGAGCCUUGCCGUGCACUUACUGUGUGCAUCUGUAGAGAGAUAGCUGUCUCCCCUGAAGAAGUGGUCUCUAAUGAAACAUAUAGGAUAAAAUGCUGGUCUUGGUUGGAUUGAUUUGGUUGGAUUGAACUCUGGGUCACAG